GGACGUCACUCCUGCGUUCACCGAGCGAUAAAGCUCCCCUUUCAAGCCUUUGCAGCGCUAACAUUUGCUUUUCCGCUUUAACUUGCUUUAACUCGCGUUAACCGCGAUAACUUGCUUUUUGGCUUACCUUUUGUUGCGAUCUCGCAUCAGACUGCUCGAUUUUUUUUGACAGCGAGAACUGUCAAAAGCAAAUGACAGUUCUCGUUGUCAAACCAUUCGAGCAGUUUGUUUUGUUUUCCUCUUGAAAAAAAAGGGACAAAUCAUCCGCCGGAACCGUUUCCUGCGCCUGUCACAGGUUUAUGGUCCGGGGACUCGAGACGGCUUCAUCACUGGCUCGGUCUUUCGUAGAUUUCGUGGUGGAGCCAGCCUUCUCAGGUUGGGAACAAGGUUGGGAAUCUGCAAAAAGGAUUGACUACAGGGUGGUUAAAUCUUCGCGAUUUUCGCGAAUUUCGCGGAUUUCGCGGAAAUCUAAAUUGCUCUCACCGAGCAGGAUUUAGAUAAAUUUGCGUUCUUUCUUCUGGAAAUACUAGAUUUAGACAAACAUUUUCACUAGCCAUCGAAAUCUACGUUGUAUUCUUGAAGAUAGACCCACAGGAACAUUCAACAUAAAUCCGCGAAAUCCGCGCCGCGAAAAUCGCGAAAUCCGCGAAGAUUUUUAACCACCCUGUGACUAGGAACGGCCAAGAAAAGCACGCCCUACAUCGACGGGACGCGGUCCGUCUUCAAGUGUGCCACCCGGAAGAACCUCCCCAGCAGAUGCCGGAAUGUCUUCAAGUGUGCCACCCGGACGAACCUCCCCAAGCAGAUGCAAGUUGUAACAAUAUCGACGAAUCGUGCGCAUUUGCUUCCGGAGUUGAUCAAGUCGACUUGAGGCGAGCAGGUUGAAGGAACCGUGGAGAAGAGUGGUGCCAACCUGGAGGUGGUCAGGGAGAUCCUUGAGCUGGCCGUGACAAUUAGGGCAUUCUAAAAUCUGUCGGAGUGCUUAUUGGAAAUGGCCGGAAUCUCGUUCGAGAAAACUCACGAUGUUAAAGUGACUAAGUGAUCGACAAGGAAAAUGCAAAGGAACAGAACGACAAUGCCAAGGCCUCCAUCAAGAUACUCCAAGAGUCAAGAUUGCGGACGUUGAGAAAGCGAAAAACGUGCAUAGCGGAAGUCACGAACGGUUUCGAUGCUAUCGGUGCCAGGUACGGCUGGUUCUGCAGCCAACAGUGGAUCGUCGUCCAGUUAGGAAAACAGCUCCUAAAACCAGGAGAUGACAAAACGCCGCUUCGCAAGAAAAAGAAGAAGUAAGACGCAACACUUCUGUGUAGUAACUAAUAAAUUGUAGUGGGAUGCGUUUUUUAAUAAAUAAAAAAAAAUCGUCUUAUUUAUAAUUUUAUCACUGAUUUUAUUCGAUGAGAAAACGGGCGAGAUCGGGCCGUAGUUGAUCAGGAGCGGCGGAUUCGGGUGAAAUCGUCAACGGAAGUUUGUUCUACGGCAGCCAAAACACGCACAACUGGAGACCAUGUAGCCGGUGAAGGUUAAUUGCGCUGACAAUCACUUGUUCAAGCUCCGGCUGUCCAGGAUGUCCAGGUCCUGCCAUCGCUGCAGCGUCCUUCGAUGGGCAUGUGGAUUACACGUGCACCUGCAAAGAAAAUAA